CGCUGCCUCGCCUCCGCCCUCGCACGCCGGUCCGUCGGACACGGAAGCACGAUAUAACUAGAAAAGACCAUGUGUUGUGGCCACCAUCUAUAUGUCCUACACAAUAUCUAUUUGGAAGAAUGGAAGCGAAGGACGAAGCUGGCGGCGGAGGUGGCCAAAUCAGCAACAGAGAUAGACCACAGAAGCAAGGGUAGAUUGGACUUUGAAACCAAGUCCGUCUCGUCCUUGUGUCGGGCUGCUUCUUCCAAGACUGCAGAAGUGCUUACAUGAAUUUUGGAUCAAUUCGCAUUAAUGAAAGCUUCAUAAAUUACCUUAGGACAAAAAGGACAUGAAAUCUAUUUCCAUUUGUUAUUCGUUUGUGCUUGAAUGAGAUGAAUCUUAGCUUGGGAUUGUACCUUCUUUUUGA